UUGAUGAUUACCUAUUCUGUUCAUUCCCUCUGAAGCACCUGGCAUUGGCCACUGUAGCAAGACAGGAUAGUGAGCUAGAUGAGGCUUUGGUCUGACCUAAUAUGGCCGUUCUUAUGUUAGAAGAGUGUUA